UUUUCAGGGAGACCAGGUGAAACAAUCAGACCCAAAUAGAUAACUGAUUGAUAUAACCAAUCCCAGGUCGUUCAAGGAAGAAGUAGAUUGGCUUUCAAACUGAUUUUGGUUCGGGAAAUGGGCUAUUAGCUCAGGUGGUUAGAGCGCACCCCUGAUAAGGGUGAGGUCCCUGGUUCGAGUCCAGGAUGGCCCACCUGUUCCAUUCAGGAAGAGGGGGUAUAGCUCAGCUGGUAGAGCGCUGCCUUUGCAAGGCAGAUGUCAGCGGUUCGAGUCCGCUUACCUCCAUACUUCCCAGUUGAGUUAGGAGCGGCGCAAGAAACAAAUAGCCAAGCCAAAAGCGAACCGAAAGGAAAAAAAAGCAUUCAGCACCUGUACUUUUUAAUUGAAAAAGUCAGACUGCUGAACGUGAAGUUCAGUCAGAACCUUGAAAACUGCAUAGCGAGAGAAAAAGUCAAUUUAGUAAGAACAAUGCCAAAAAAAAGGCGUUUGUGUCUUACACAGACAAAAGUAUAGAU
rnacentral:tRNA from 2 species